GAGCAGCUUCUCCUGCACCUGGAGGGUGCCCCCAACUUGGGGCUCUCAUCACAGGAACAGUGAGAAGAGAAUGCACUUCCCAUCCCGUGGGCCUGGCUACAGAUUCAGCCUCCAGCGCUCACUCGAUGUGUGACUUGGGCAAGGGAUGGAGCCUCCUCAGUGUUCCCUUCUGUAAAAUGGGCACAGCAAGACCGGCCACCUGGGGUUAUCAUUCUAGGUCCCGAGGGAGCGCGGGCACCGGGUGGCCCCUACAGACGCCCCUUCCGGCCACCGCUGCGCUGACCGCUGGGGAACCAGGCCACUGGCCCCGAUGACACGUUCGGGAACAGACCGACCCGUCUUGCAUGCGCGCUGGAGGCUCUGGAAAGUGCCGACUGGUAAAUAUGAGAAGCAGG